UGGGGUGUAGCCAAGUGGUAAGGCAUCUGGUUUUGGUCCAGACAUUCGGUAGUUCGAUCCUAUCCACCCCAG
rnacentral:tRNA from 1 species